ACAAUGGAGAGUUUGAUCCUGGCUCAGGAUGAACGCUAGCGGCAGGCUUAAUACAUGCAAGUCGAGGGGCAGCGCAGUGUAGCAAUACAUGGGCGGCGACCGGCAAACGGGUGCGGAACACGUACACAACCUUCCUUUAAGCGGGGAAUAGCCCGGGGAAACCCGGAUUAAUACCCCAUAGUACGUCGGAGAGGCAUCUCUCUGAUUUUAAAGAUUUAUCACUUAAAGAUGGGUGUGCGGCUGAUUAGGUAGUUGGCGGGGUAACGGCCCACCAAGCCUACGAUCAGUAACUGGUGUGAGAGCACGACCAGUCACACGGGCACUGAGACACGGGCCCGACUCCUACGGGAGGCAGCAGUAAGGAAUAUUGGUCAAUGGACGAAAGUCUGAACCAGCCAUGCCGCGUGGAGGAUGAAGGUCCUCUGGAUUGUAAACUUCUUUUAUAUGGGACGAAAAAGGGACUUUCUAGUUCAACUGACGGUACCAUAUGAAUAAGCACCGGCUAACUCCGUGCCAGCAGCCGCGGUAAUACGGAGGGUGCAAGCGUUAUCCGGAUUCACUGGGUUUAAAGGGAGCGUAGGUGGGUUGAUAAGUCAGUGGUGAAAUCUUCGAGCUUAACUCGGAAACUGCCAUUGAUACUAUCAGUCUUGAAUAUUGUGGAGGUUAGCGGAAUAUGUCAUGUAGCGGUGAAAUGCUUAGAUAUGACAUAGAACACCAAUUGCGAAGGCAGCUGGCUACACAUAUAUUGACACUGAGGCUCGAAAGCGUGGGGAU
rnacentral:ncRNA from 1 species